CCUACGGGAGGCAGCAGUGGGGAAUAUUGGACAAUGGGCGCAAGCCUGAUCCAGCCAUACCGCGUGGGUGAAGAAGGCCUUCGGGUUGUAAAGCCCUUUUGUUGGGAAAGAAAUCCAGCCGGCUAAUACCUGGUUGGGAUGACGGUACCCAAAGAAUAAGCACCGGCUAACUUCGUGCCAGCAGCCGCGGUAAUACGAAGGGUGCAAGCGUUACUCGGAAUUACUGGGCGUAAAGCGUGCGUAGGUGGUUAUUUAAGUCCGUUGUAAAAGCCCUGGGCUCAACCGGGGAACUGCAGUGGAUACUGGAGGACUAGAAUGUGGUAGAGGGUAGCGGAAUUCCUGGUGUAGCAGUGAAAUGCGUAGAGAUCAGGAGGAACA
rnacentral:rRNA from 1 species